rnacentral:lncRNA from 1 species
AUGGAUCCAGCGGCAUUCACCCCACCCCCGGAGCUUCGAGGGCUCAUAACGGACUCAGCUACAAAAUUAAUCGAUCUGUGGCUAAAGCAUGAGGGAGAAGCGUUUCUCUAUGCUGUGGAGGACAAGCUACAACAGCUUAUUUCCGGUUACCCCUGGUUAUUGGACUCACUGCACCCGCUCGUACAGGAUUUUCUUCUUCACGAGCUUCACCUUCACCCUCCCGCCGCUACCGCUCGCCCACUCGCUUCAAUGGAGGACGUGCCGUCUGACCCGCCGGACGAGGAGUUUCCCGGCCCGUCGGAGCGGUCUCCAAGGAGGAAGCGACAUUCGCGCCGCCGGCGCAGCACCCCACAGCCGGAUGUCGGGACAUGUAAGCAGCCGGCUGUGGUGAGUAAAAGGGACACUUUUUCUGCUGCGUCACACUCUGUGACUGUUGUUUCUGGGGCAAUUUUUUGUGUUUCGACUGAAGAUAACAAUGAUUCCUCAAUCUCACCUAUGGCCGCAGUUUCUAAGACUGCCUGUUCUGAACCCUCGUUCCGAGUUUAUGACCGUGUCCGCUCCGUUGUCCCAUCCUCACUUCCAUCCCAGUUAAAUGCCCGGCCCGUAACACUGCCCGCAGUUCAGUCAGCAGCCCAGCUGCCCGCAGUUCAGUCAGCAGCCCAGCUGCCCGCAGUUCAGUCCGCAGCCCAGCUGCCCGCAGUUCAGUCAGCAGGCCAGCUGCCCGCAGUUCAGUCAGCAGCCCAGCUGCCCGCAGUUCAGUCAGCAGCCCAGCUGCCCGCAGUUCAGUCAGCAGGCCAGCUGCCCGCAGUUCAGUCAGCAGGCCAGCUGCCCGCAGUUCAGUCAGCAGGCCAGCUGCCCUCAGUUCAGUCAGCAGGCCAGCUGCCCUCAGUUCAGUCAGCAGGCCAGCUGCCCUCAGUUCAGUCAGCAGGCCAGCUGCCCUCAGUUCAGUCAGCAGGCCAGCUGCCCUCAGUUCAGUCAGCAGGCCAGCUGCCCUCAGUUCAGUCAGCAGGCCAGCUGCCCUCAGUUCUGUUGGCCUCUCCACCACCUAUUACGCCUUCACUACAGUCGUCUCCGCUACCUGUAGGUCAGUCUGUAGUCGCUCCGCUGCCUAUAGCUCAGCCGCCACUUGUUCAUCUGUCUGCUCACUCACUCAUUCAGUCACCAUCCUCACCGUCUCGUUACGAGCAGGGAACACACUUCAUACAAACUUUAGCUGGUUCCCUUAAGCUGGCCACCUCUGUGACAGUUGCUCCCUCUAGGGCCUCCCCAGAGGCUGGGUGUCACUCACCAGCUGACUCUGGACCCCUAGAGGUCAAGACGCCAGCGCCAGCAGUUUCACUGGGGAACUCACCAGAGCAGUCUCGGCUCUCAGCGCCCCCUGAGAGCUCAAGUGAGUUCACCCGUCCGCCUCCGUCCUCUGCUGAGUGUAUUGGGGAACACUUUCAGCCCUCUGAGGACUGCAUCCCACUGUUGCUGCCUGAGUCUAGCCACUGUGCUGCUCAGUUCCAGCCAGUGUCCACACCGGCAGAGGUCUGCGUACCUGCUGCCUCAGUGUCUGUUUCCGCUGGAGGGCCCGAGUCGCCCGUCCAGCCUCAAGUUUCGUUAGCUGGGGGUUUGGGAGAACCCAGCCAGCAUCCUGCCUCGUCGGCUGGAGGGCCUGAGGAGCCCGUCCAGCCUCAAGUUUCGUCUGCUGGGGGUUCGGGAGAGCCCAGCCAGCUUCAAGUUUCGUCUGCUGGGGGUUCGGGAGAGCCCAGCCAGCUUCAAGUUCCGUCUGCUGGGGGUUCAGGUGAACCCAGACAGCAUCCUGCCUCGUCAGCUGGGGGUUCGGAGGAGCCCAGCCAGCUUCAAGUGUCGUCGGCUGGGGGUUCGGGAGAACCCAGCCAGCCUCAAGUGUCGUCAGCUGGGGGUUCGGAGGAGCCCAGCCAGCUUCAAGUGUCGUCAGCUGGGGGUUCGGAGGAGCCCAGCCAGCCUCAAGUGUCGUCUGCUGGAGGGCCCGAGUCGCCCGUCCAGCCUCCUGUGUCGUCAGCUGGUGGGUCCGAGGAGCCCGUCCAGCACCACACCUCGUUAGCUGAGGGUCCUGGAGGACCCAGACAGCACAUCCUCCCGUCUGCUGGCGGUCCGGGGAGGGCUGUUCAGCCAUCACCGGCUAAAUCAUCCCCCACGACAUCUACAUCUCCGCCUGCAGCAUCAUCAUCUCCGCCUGCAGCCGCAGCUUCAUCCGCAGCCGCAGCUUCAUCCGCAGCCGCAGCUUCAUCCGCAGCCGCAGCUUCAUCCGCAGCCGCAGCUUCAUCCACGCCUGCAGCUUCAUCCACGCCUGCAGCCGUCCCGCUGCCGUCAGGUUCCGCGGCCGUCCCGCUGCCGUCAGGUUCCGCGGCCGUCCCGCUGCCGUCAGGUCCCGCAGCCGUCCCGCUGCCGUCAGGUCCCGCAGCCGUCCCGCUGCCGUCAGGUCCCGCAGCCGUCCCGCUGCCGUCAGGUCCCGCAGCCGUCCCGCUGCCGUCAGGUUCCGCAGCCGCAGCUUCAUCCACGCCUGCAGCCGCAGCUUCAUCCACGCCUGCAGCCUGCAGCUUCAUCCACGCCUGCAGCAUCAUCGCCUGCAGCUUUAUCCACGCCUGCAGCAUCAUCGCCUGCAGCAUCAUCGCCUGCAGCCGUCUCGCUGCCGUCAGGUUCCGCAGCCGUCUCGCUGCUGUCAGGUUCCGCAGCCGUCUCGCUGCCGUCAGGUUCCGCAGCCGUCUCGCUGCCGUCAGGUUCCGCAGCCGUCUCGCUGCCGUCAGGUUCCGCUUCUGCUCUGCCUUCGCCUGGCCCUGCCUCGUCAGACUCGUCCACGCCUGGCCCUGCCUCGUCAGACUCGUCCACGCCUGGCCCUGCCUCGUCAGACUCGUCCACGCCUGGCCCUGCCUCGUCAGACUCGUCCACGCCUGGCCCUGCCUCGUCCACGCCUGGCCCUGCCUCGUCCACGCCUGGCCCUGCCUCGUCCACGCCUGGCCCUGCCUCGUCCACGCCUGGCCCGGCCUCUGUGUCUUCAUCCACCCCUUCUGCUCCGCCAUCGUCUGGCCCUGCGGUUGCCACGCCGUCAUGGAACCCAGCUCGUCCUGUUCCGCCUCCCCUCUGCCGGCCGUUUUCCGGGCCUCUAAGUUGGCGUCAUGGCCGUCGAGGCCGGCCUCCUGA